AGAAUCUACAUCAUGUUGCGUAUAGAAGUCCCUAAACAUCCUACAUGACUCAGGCAUUUCUACAUCGACCAAAUUUGAUUUACUUGGUUUUUCUCCAUGAAAUAUCCAAUCAGUGUACGUAGGAUCCAUACCCUUAAUAAUCAAAUGUUCAUAUACUAUUUCAUAGUUGUGAUGCUUUAGAUUCCUACACUUAAUACAAGGGCAUCCUAUCAUUUCUGAAUUUAGAGUUUCACAAGCUAGUUCUAUAAACUUCCGUGC
rnacentral:lncRNA from 1 species